rfam:Pseudoxanthomonas suwonensis strain J1, complete genome.
GGGCCGUUAGCUCAGUUGGUAGAGCAGCUGACUCUUAAUCAGUAGGUCCAAGGUUCGAAUCCUUGACGGCCCA